UGACCUCGGAUCAGGUAGGGAUACCCCGC
rnacentral:rRNA from 1 species